UCAUGCAGUUCCACAAGCUGAUUUCUGCAUAUCAGGUUGCUGUAAAACACAGGAUCAGCCCAGUGGGUUUUCUUCUUCUUUGAAAACUUCUAAUGUACGGCAAUACAGAUGAAGCUACACACAUAGUUUAGCACUUACUAGAUGGGAGAGGUAAAACAACAUGCACAUAAGGUGAAAUUUAAAACACGUUGGGCAGGGAAAGAGUGAAGCCAUUGAAAUCUUAGUGGGAUAUUUUUAUUUUUUAUGUUAUUUAGGGCGCCUUAGCUGCUUGCUAAGCCUGUGUGCAAAUCUGCCUCUGUGUGUGUAUCUGAAUGUGGAGAGACAACCCUUCAAAUGAAAGGAAUUCCAAAACGUUGUUUAGGAGCAACAUUUGCAUUCUUCUCCCUUCUUUCGGAUGAACAUAUUCUGGUUUUCUUGCCACUUUUUUUUUUAAAAGCAUGAAUUAGCAGGAAGACAAACAGGGCACAGGUAUUCCAGCCAAGCUUGAUGGUAGAAAAUCUGCUUUGCAUGCAGAAGUUCCCAGGUUCAAUACCUGCCAUCUGCAUGUAGGACUGGGAAAAUGACCCUGCCCCAAAUCAUGGAAACCUGUUGGCACUCACAGACCCUCAAGUGUCCCUAUUUUGCAGGGACAGUCACAGAUUAACAGAAGCCAUCCUGGUUUUUUAUUUGAUCCCAAGUUGUCAUGCUUUUCCUUAGGAUGUCCCUAAGAAAUGUUGGAGGGUGUGGAGUUAUGCAACCUCCGAGCCAAGGAGAUAAGUAACUAUACAAACUUUAGAAGACAUCUGAAGGCAGCCUCGUAUAGGGAAGUUUUUUAUGUUUCAUGUGUUAUUAUGUUUUUAUAUGUGUUGGAAGCUGCCCAGUCAAAUGGGCACGGUAGAAUAAUGAUGAUAAUAAUAAUAAUAUAGAAUAGGACAUUCCUAUUUUCAUCAGAGAAAUGUUGUAGAAUAUGCAGCGUAGAGAAUGCUGAACUAGAUGGGCCAGUAGUCUGACUUGUUUGAAGGCAACUUCCUAUGUCCCGAGUGUAUCAAUAUUCCCUGAAAGGAAUCAGUCUUUCACAUUAGAGCAAGGUGGGCAAACUGCGGCCCUCCAGGACUCCAACACCCUUCAGCCCCACUCGGAACUGCUAACCACUAAGGAUGAUGGCAGCUGUGGUCGACCAACAUCUGGAGGGCUAGUCAGUAUACCUUAAGGAGCAUCUCCACCCCCAUCGUUCAGCCCAGACACUGAGGUCCAGCGCCAAGGGCCUCCUGGUGGUUCCCUCACUGCGAGAAGUGAGGUUGCAGGGAACCAGGCAGAGGGCCUUCUCAGCAGUGGCGCCUGCCCUGUGGAAUGCCUUCCCACCAGAUGUCAAAGAAAUAAGCAACUAUCUAACUUUCAGAAGACAUCUGGGAAGUUUUGGGAAGUUUUAAUGUUUGGUUCUAUUUUUAAAAUUUU